AUGAAUUCUUGGAAUCUCAACAACAGUGAACAUACUGACCCAGAAUCCCAAUCUGCAUGUUCUAGGAAGGUGGGAAACUUCUUUAUAGAUGGUGUUCAGCUGCCAGUUGAUAACUCUUGCUUGAUAAAUUCAGUAUGCUCUGUACCUGGUUAUCAAAAUGAUCUUACUGUUACUAAUGUCGACGAUAUGCUCAAAUCCACUACUGAAGAUAACUGCAGCAAAGGCAUUUUAAUGCAGGACAAUGCAUUGCAUUUUUUCUGGGAGGCCAGACCUGAACAACAAGAGGACAUCUACAACAGGGAGAGUACCGCUGAAAUUCCUACGAGAUAUCAAGUACAGGAACAUGCUGCCAAAUGCAGUUUACCUACGCCUGACCAUCAGCCAAGGAUGUAA
rnacentral:rRNA from 1 species